rnacentral:rRNA from 1 species
UACGUAGGGUGCGAGCGUUAAUCGGAAUUACUGGGCGUAAAGCGUGCGCAGGCGGUUGUGCAAGACAGAUGUGAAAUCCCCGGGCUCAACCUGGGAACUGCAUUUGUGACUGCACGGCUAGAGUGCGGCAGAGGGGGAUGGAAUUCCGCGUGUAGCAGUGAAAUGCGUAGAUAUGCGAAGGAACACCGAUGGCGAAGGCAAUCCCCUGGGCCUGCACUGACGCUCAUGCACGAAAGCGUGGGGAGCAAACAGG